CCUACGGGAGGCAGCAGUGGGGAAUAUUGCGCAAUGGGCGAAAGCCUGACGCAGCGACGCCGCGUGAGGGAUGAAGGUCUUCGGAUCGGAAACCUCUGUCAGCAGGGAAGAACGGUCACGGGGCUAAGCAGCAGUGAAUUGACGGUACCGGCAAAGGAAGCACCGGCUACCUCCGUGCCAGCAGCCGCGGUAAUACGGAGGGUGCGAGCGUUAAUCGGAAUUACUGGGCGUAAAGCGCUCGUAGGCGGUAUGUCAAGUCAAGGGUGAAAUCCCCGCGCUCAACGUGGGAACUGCCUUUGACACUGGCAAACUGGAGUGUGUUAGAGGUUAGUGGCAUUCCAGGUGUAGCCGUUAAAUCCGUAGAUAUC
rnacentral:rRNA from 1 species